rnacentral:sRNA from 1 species
AAGUAUAGAGAUAAAAAUAGAGAUGAGUUGGAAAUGAUAUGAAGGAAUAGAUUAGAAAGAAUCUAUAUAUACAUUUUUGCAGCCAUUUUCGCAAAUAAAUCCUAGACUUGUACUUAUUUACAAUCUAAUGCCAUUAGCAUUAAAUCUUUUUUCCAAAAUAAUUAAUUUUACUUUAAAUUUU